GACGAACCGUGCAAACGUUGUUCGGAAUCACUGGGCUUAAAGGGCGCGUAGGCGGCUUCCCAAGUCCGGGGUGAAAUCUUUCGGCUUAACCGGAAAAGUGCCUUGGAUACUGGGAGGCUUGAGGGGGGUAGGGGCAAGCGGAACUUCCGGUGGAGCGGUGAAAUGCGUUGAUAUCGGAAGGAACGCCGGCGGCGAAAGCGGCUUGCUGGACCCCAUCUGACGCUGAUGCGCGAAAGCCAGGGGAGCGAACGGG
rnacentral:rRNA from 1 species